GACGUAGGAUGCGAGCGUUAUUCGGAUUUAUUGGGCGUAAAGCGUGCGUAGGCGGCUGCUUAAGUCUGGUGUUAAAGCUAGGGGCUCAACCCCUGUGAUGCACUGGAUACUGGGCAGCUUGAGUGCGGUAGGGGAAGGUGGAACUCCGAGUGUAGCGGUGAAAUGCGUAGAUAUUCGGAAGAACACCGGUGGCGAAGGCGACCUUCUGGGCCGCAACUGACGCUGAGGCACGAAAGCCUGGGGAGCGAACGGG
rnacentral:rRNA from 1 species